UACGUAGGGGGCGAGCGUUGUCCGGAUUUACUGGGCGUAAAGAGCGCGUAGGCGGAUGUUUAAGUGUGGCCUGAAAGCCCCCGGCUCAACCGGGGAUCCGGGUUGCAAACUGGGCAUCUUGAGGGGGAUAGAGGAGAGUGGAAUUCCUGGUGUAGCGGUGAAAUGCGUAGAUAUCUGGAGGAAUACCGGUGGCGAAGGCGGCAUCCUGGACCGAGAUUGACACUGAUGAGCGAAAGCCAGGGGAGCAAACGGG
rnacentral:rRNA from 1 species